CUGUAGCUGCUGUGGCAAGAAUCGACUUGAAGAAGACUAGCAGAGAAGCAGUGAGACCAGUUGGGAGGCGGCUGCAGUGGUCCAGGUGAGAAGUGAUGCUGGUGGAGCCAAGAGCCACGACAGUGCACAUGAAAAGACUGCUUUGGACUCAGUAAAUAUUUUGGACGGUGUAGCAACAAGACAAACUUGUGUUUUGGGGGGUAAGGAAAAGGGAAUGAUGCUUCCCCUAGCCUGAGUUACUGUGUGAAAUGGGGAAAAGUUUACUGAGAUGGGCGAAGAUGGGGGCAGAGAAGCAUUUGUUUCAUUGUGGACCCAUUAAGUUUGUACUGUUUUUGUAACAUCCAAGUGCAGAUAGUAGUUGAGCUGUAUAUGCAAGCCUGUAACUCAGAGAAGCGGUCUGAGUGGGAACAACAAAUACGUAUUGAAAAUCAUGUCAAAAGUGGAUAAUUUUUUAAAAAAACAAUUAGCUGGUGGUAGUGGAGGUAUGAAAUGUCUAUAGGGAAGAAACUGAGAAAAUGAUGUCUGGGGUAGGAACUGGAGAGGUUGUAGGGAAAAUGGAGAGAGGGAGGGAGCGGAAGAAAGGUGGGGAUGGGCUGUGAAUAUGAUUAUGGGAAGGAGGGACAGAAAGUUGGGGCAAAUGGGAUGGAUAUGUCGGUCCCAUCUAUGUGUGGGGACAAGGGCAAGGCCUGCCAGAAUACGAGGAGUAAGGGGAGAAAAGAAGAGUGGGAGAAUGGAAACACUAGGGAAAGUACAGGACACAAGGGCCAGGGGAAAAGGUGAGAACACAGAUUAACUGUAAUCACAGCUAGAGACCAGCCCAGCAGCUGGAGGUGGCCACAGGGUCAGGGCAGUUCAGAGGUCACAGGGUGAUCCUAGUAUGAGAUAAGGAAGUGAAGGAAUGAGAAGGCAGUUGAGGAUGGAAUGAGAAGGAAGGUGAGGAUGGAAUGAGGUCCUCAGAACUUGGCCAUGAGGAAACAGGAUUCUAUUAUUAGACAUAAACUUGAGCAUCAGCUCACAACAGGCAAAAGUCUGCUUUAAGGCAGGAAUUUUAAACAAAGAUACACAAAAUAUCCUCUGGACAUCUAUGAAGUCCCUGCAGUUGCUCAAAUGGUUUUCUAAGUAUGGCAUUCUUCUGUGGAAAUAGAUAUGGAUGGCUUCUAUCACAUUCUCUAAUCCUGACAUUUAAAAAGAGAGAGAGAAAGAAUAGAGUCUGGUGCAUAAAGCAAGACAAAAGGUAACAUUAUAUAUUAAAAAAAAAGGAAUAUGUCAAUCAGAAGGAGGAGGUGAAAAAGAAAGCAUGCAAAGGAGACCAAAAAAGGAGGAGGAGGUGAAGGAGGAGGAGAAGGCAGAGCCCGUCUAAGGGAGAAGGUAUCCAACCUGAUCUAAUCAAGAAGCUGCCCGCUCCGCUAAGUGGAAAUGAUGAGAAAAGAACCUGAUGCUAUUAGUCAUUUAAAUCCUGUAACUGCUCCUCAUUCCGACUCACCCACGAAGCAUCCUUCUGUUAAGGAGAUGAAAGAGAGAAGCCAUGGCUGGACCUAUGGAAGGCAGCCGUCCACCCGACAGCUGCUGGUUUUGCGACUGGAACAUCGUGAGGUUUCUGAGCCUGUCAUGAAGCUGAGUGAGGGCUUGAUGCAGGACCGUGGGGAAUUUCAUCCCAACAUCUUCUUGGGAAACUCUCUUCAAAAGUCAGCCAGUUGUCUUCUCCUGGCAGCCCCUCCAAUGCCAGGGGCACGUGUUUGAGAAAUGUCCUGCCUUUCCUACUGGAAGCGUCUCCAGAAGGAACUUUUUCAGUGCUCACAAAUGUGAGCUGUCUCCUUUAUGGGCAGUACGGAGAAGGAUGAAUGAACAAGUGAAACUAAACCGUGCUCACCCUCCACCUGAUGCUCUGUUCCCUGAAACUGCAGGAGCAUUUGGGUUUGCCCCAGGACCACAUCUGCUGGGAAGAAUAAAGAGUCUCCUCUCCGGAGAAGUCAGCGGAAAGAGUUGUGGACUAACAGUACUAAUGGCUAAUACUUAAUGAGCACUUAACUCCUAGCACUACGCACAGUACUUUAUUCUAACUUCCACCAACCACAGUCACACAGCAGCAGAGACAAAAUUUUAACCCAGGAAAUCUGAUUUAGGAGCCCUUGGAUUAACCAAUUCACUGUCCUGCUGCUAGAGGCAGAUCUGGAGAUCUAGAGAGCAGUUUUAUACAGGACCUGUCUGCACAGUGGCUUAGGGUUGCAAGAGGAUAAAAGCUAGACCUGCCAGGUGCCUGAGGCCUAGGCCCAGACCUAGGCAUCACUCGUGCUGCAUUCUGUUGGUCAGAAGAAGUUACCAGGCCAGCCCAGGUUCAAGGGAAGCACCAAUAGAUUCCGCAUCUAGGUGAGAGAAAAGGCAGGAGAUUGGGAAUAUGAUUAACCUGCCACAUCCAUUAUAUCAUAUUCCAUUUUACAGCCAAUUUAUGACUUAGGAGGUAUCUAACUGGUGAGAUUCUGUGGCUGCUUCAGCUAUGGGUGGUGUGAAAUGCACCAUGAUAAAACACAGGGUUCAAAUCCUCAUUUCAGUGCUGACUUGCUAGACGACCCUCGGGCAAAUUAUUAAACCUUUCUUCCCUUCCUUUCUUCAUCUCUAAAAUGAGGGGCAGUAACGUCUAGCUUGCCAGGGUAAUUCUGAGAAUCAGAGAGAAUGCAAGGAAAAUGCUAGUGCCUGGGAGAUGAGAUGGCUAAGCGGUCCUGUAACACUGUUGUUACUAGAUUUCUUGUCUUUCUUCUUAAGUAAGGUAACAGGACUGGUAAUAGAGUGAUUUCUUUUCCCUGUCAUGGGAACACCUAGCAGACCUCUAGUAUUGCCUGCCCCUCCCUGGAAACCUCAGAAAUUAUGCAGUAGAGUUGGGGCAUGGCCUUGUGAAUUUGUUCAACGUUUUGGAAAGCACUUUAGUAAUCAUUAACAAGAGUCAUAAAAAGCGUUCAUAUCCUUUGACCCAAUUACUAGAUUUCAAGAAAAUUAUCCUCAGGGAACUGAUUCAAAAGAAAAGCAAAAUCCAUAUACAUCAAGUUCUUCGUUGCCUUUUCUCUAGAGCAACUAAAAAUAAACAGCUUAAAUGUCCAACAGUAAGUGAAUGGUUAGCUAAAUUACGAUCAAAUGAAUAUUUGUCAGAAUAUUAUAUGACUCCUAAAAUGACAAUUAUUAUCACUACAUGACAGUAUGGGGAAAAAAAUUUAAUGAAUUGCUAAGUGACAAAUUCAGAAUUCAAAAAUUUCUCUACAAUAAACAGCUAGAACAAGACAAUGAAAAAUUUUGGUAGUGUUUGGAAAGUGGUCUUGAAAUUGAUUUAUCUUCUUUAAAAAUAUUCUUUAUUAUUUUACAUCCAAAUCAGAAGAAAAAUUUGGGCAAGGCCAUAUGGGAAAGUGAUUUAUUUAAAAAAAGAAGGGCAUAUAAUAAGUGCCAGAGAAUACAUUGCAGAGCUUUUAAACAUACAAGUGCUCAAGCUGCUCCCUGGAGAUUCUAAUUCGGGAGGUCCCAGAUAGGGCACAGUCACUGGUAUCUUUUCAGAGCUCCACAAAUGAUUUUGACACGAGACUGAGACUCACUGAGCUGGGCACUCAUCAUUAUCCUUUCAAAUGAUGUAAUAUAAACACUCUGUCUGAUCAGAAAUAGCAAUACAAAGGAAACUUACAUAGUUAGAACUCUUUUUCCCUAACACAGUUUGUUCCUACGUGUGGGCCUUUUCCAUUUCCACGUAUUUAGUUGUGCUGUGAUAAAUCUGUAGCCUCUGUAUAUAAUCCAGAACACAGAAAGAACAGCUUUUGAUAAACAUGUGUGGUUCUGUACAAUGUAAGGAAAAAACAUGACAUAAGAGCUGAUGGCCUGGGUUUAGCAGAAAGAGUAAUAGCAGGAAAAAAAAAAUCUCAUCUCCAUAUCAGUCAAAAGAUAUUGACAGGAUUUCAAGGACGGUCUCCCACUGUGACCAGCUGUGGCCCUUUCCUGAGGAAUAGAAGUAGUGGAUAGUCUCAUGAAACUGAAUAUGCAUAUUUUUCUUUCUUCUUAUAAUGGUAGCAUUAACCCAUAGGGAGUUAUUGUUAAAGACUGAAGAGCAGGAACAGAAAAAACCAGAGUCUUGUUGUACCCAGCUUAGCAUCCACAGAAUCUAGUGAGAGACAGUAGAUUCUCUGAGAAAAUCCUGGAAUUGACCGAUUUUCACGAUAGUUUCCUGAGACCAUCAUUGCCCAAAGUGAGCUCUCUGUAAAAAGCAGUUAGUUCCUCAGAAGGCUGAAAGGUAUUGCUUGAAAAGGGAUUCCAUGAUGAAAUAAUUUUGGAAUGCAGGAUUUAACCAAGCUAGAGAGGUUUCUUUGUAGGACUUCUCGGGGGGGUUUUGAAUCUCUGAGAAAGAAUUAUGGUAUGAAAUACAAAAUUUCCUCGAUGAAACACACCUUGCAAAACACUUCUAUAGACAUGUGAUUUCCAGUUAAAGCAAAAUAAAUGUUGAUUGUUAAAUCAAGGAAAAUUAAUACAGGAUAUUUUGACCCUAGAUUUACAUUAGUAAAUGUGCAUAUUCCACCUAAGGAAAACUAACUUUUACAUGAAAAUUAAGAUACAGAAUAUCUAAAAAAAUUCAAGAGCCUCUCCAGACAAAUCCUUAGAACUAAUGAAAGGGUUGACUAAAGUUCCCAGACAUAAGAAACUUGCGGGGGGAAAUAAAAAGCAAACAAUUAGAAAAUUUAAUUUUAAAAAUACCGUCCAUAAUAAGGGCCAAAAUCUGUAAGCUGUAUAGGAAUAAGUCUAAUAAAACAGGGUCAAACUUGCCUGGAGGAAAAUUAAAACCUUUAUUGGAAGACAUAAAAGGAUUUCUAAACAAAUGGAGUAAUGAAACCAUGUUUGUGGUUGGGGAGACUCAAUGUGAUAAAGAUGUAAUAGUUCUCCAUCUUUCACUUCCCUCGCUUCCUAAUUAAGACAUACUUCUCAUCCUUUCAUUCUCUUGUUUCUUGCAAUGUCCAAAAGCAAAGGUGGUAGCAGCUCUUUCAUUAUCAGAAUGUCUUCUGCCUGUCUCAGCAAACUUCUAGUGAGGCACGUUUUAGACCUCCAUCUACAGAUGACCAGUGGUAUCCUGGUGGUUGUUCUUAAGGUUUCCAGUAUAAUACACAAGGUCUUAAAGCAUAUUCAGGUAAUAUGAAAUUCUAUGAAGGGCCUAUGCAAUUUGUUUGUGAUUUCUGACCACUAGAUAUAUCUCUCUCUUGUUGGUUUUUGGAGUUUUUUUGUUUUUCUUUUUGUUUUUUAAUGGAGGUACUGGGGGAUUGAACCCAAGACCUCGGGCAUGCUAAGUGUGUGCUCUACCACUGAGCUAUUACCCUCCCCCUACAUAGAUAUCUCCUUGGAUACCUGAGCUAGAAGGGCUUUUCUUGUGUUCAAAACUGCCUAAUUUAAUUUACUAAGUGGGGUACAGCAGAGGUAAACAAAGGUAGCUUCCUGGCUCACAGCAAUACUCCUAGUGGCCACAUUUGUGCUACAUUCCCCCUGAUAACAGACUCAACCCCAAGUCACAGAAAUGGGCAAGCAAUCCCACCUGGGGCAAUUAUAACACCUCAUUCCUCUGGCCUACAGCUGGACCAGUGGUGGACACAUGACCCAAGCUGGACCAGUCAGUCUUUCCCAGUGGAGGGAGGGAUAAAGCUAACAAGAAAAGAGCAGAAGAGAUAAGAGACUGAUAAUUUUUGAACCCCUGGUUCUAGUCACCUCUGCUUUUUCAUGGGUUGAGGAUAUAAGCCAAUAAAGGUCCCCUCUUUUGCUUUAAUUAGCUCAAUAUGGCUUUCUGUCUCUUGUAACCAAAGAAUCUCCACAACAUGUAAGCAGGUGGAUGCUUCUAUGCAUAAAUUUCCCAGGCUGCUACUAAUGCAGUCAGAGAUGAUUCAGGGAAGCAGGAACACUACAAGUUCUGGAAAAAGGAAUUUAUUAUAGGAAAGAAACUUAACACCAUGGUAGGAGGACCUGGGGAAGUGAAGGACCAGGAGGAAAGUUGGAGAUCAGAGAAGAGGUCACCAUUUAGUCGAUCUGAGAAGCUAAACACAUCCAGCAUCAGAAUGAGAUGGCAAAGACAAGGCUCAUGGGAGGCCAGUGGGCAGCUGUGCCUCUGGGUAGCAGCUUUGUGAAUGUGGAUCACAGCCAUGCACGUGGCAGUGUUGGGGCCACUGUCAGUCAACAGGAUCAUCAGCUGGUAAGAAGAGGCAGGUCAGGAGCAGAGGAGAGUAUGGACAGGCUGGACCCCACAGGCACGUCUGCAUCCAUCCCUCUGUAACCGCUUCUGACCACGACAGCCUGCAGAGGGUAGUGACUGCUCCCUCACCUCCACCUUCCACAUCUCAUGCAGAUUCCUUUUUUGGCCAGCUCCUGCCUAGAACCAUACAGAGAAGGGGAUUUGGGGAAAUGUAGAUCCCAACUUAGUCACGUUGACACAGUACAAAUUAUCCUAACCUUUAUCCAGAUGCUGCACAUUGAGAACUUCCUGUAAAGAUUCACCAGUGAGGACAGCAAUCAGGUGCUACAGCACUUGACUGGGUGCUCAGCCGCAGUCUGACCCUGAGCCUCCGGCUGCUCUCCUCAUUGGGCAGUUUUCCCCACACCCUUCCAAGUUCCCAGCUCCACAGCCCUCCUGUCUUAUACCUGAGAGCCCUCGAUCCUCCUCCCAAAUCUGUAGGCUCAGCCUUAUCACAAUUUUUAGGACCGAUUCUAACUUUAGAAAAGGAGGAUGAGGUAUAUUUAGUCUAAUACUUGGGGACACAACAUAAAAUUAAGUUUACCCUGAGAUCAGCCAUGAGCCUUUUUUUUGGGGGGAGGGGUGGUAAUUAAAUUUUUUUGCUUAAUUGAGGAACUGGGGAUUGAACCCAGGACCCUGUGCACUGCUAAGCACGCCCCCUCCCUACCACUGGCCUAUACCGUCCCCCUUGAGAUCAGCUUUGACUUCUUGCUCAGCCCUAGUUUCUCUUGGCUGGCUUCUGCCUUGCUCCUAAAGCCAAAAAUGCCAUUUUGAUGAUCUACAGAGCAUUCCUUCCAGGCCUCUCAGGAUGAAGUCCCUGCCUUGCUUUGGCUCUCCCCAAACCCCACCCAGCUCCUACCUCUGAACUCCAGUCAGGAGUGGCGGCUGCUACCUGCAAACAUGCUUUCCCAAUAUGAUUCUGCAGGUUGGAUUUCCACUUGCAGCAAACCCAUGAUGUGCUUGAGCGAUACUCUUCCAAGCCAUUUGGAACCCUGACGUUGUACAAGUAACUCUUGUUCUCCGGAAUCAAAGGGUCACCUGCUUGCUGGGUGUAGCCUCACGUCACAGAGUCACCUGCUUUCAAAGUUCACUAAAAUUUAACUCUCCCUUGUUGACCAGUUUUGGUGCCAAACUCAAACAGCCUCUUCAAUUUUUUGUUUUUAAAUCGCUAUACCACCCUGUUGUUUCUUUGUUUAAACUUCUUUCUCUCUCUUUUUGGUUUUGAGGGGAUAAGUAAUUAGGUUUGUUUAUUGACUGAUUUUUAAUGGAGACACUAGGGAUUGAACCCAGGACCCUGUGCAUGCUAAGCAGAUGCUCUACUACUGAACUAUAACCUCCCUCCUUUUACUUAGAAUAUAUUACAAAAUAGAAUCAAAAGUAUUACAUUUCUUUUUCUUUGUUAUUAUAAAAGUGAUGUAUUUCAAAAGUCAUAGAAAACAAGUAAUGUGUGUCAUGUAGAUUGAUGAACCACCAGAAAGAAAGAAAAAAACAAGGAAAUCAAAAUUAAUAUCCACUGCAAUGCUAAUUACAUUCAGUUAUCUUUGCUAUUUUACUGGCUUUAGGUCAUAUUAAAAACCACAGCUUUAUGGAUGUUUGUUGA